rnacentral:rRNA from 1 species
AACCGCAAGGAGGCCGCUUACCACGGUGGGAUUCAUGACUGGGGUGAAGUCGUAACAAGGUAGCCGUAGGGGAACCUGCGGCUGGAUCACCUCCUUU